CAUUCCUUCUUAUUUAUCUUUGGCAUGUGGUAUACAGCCUGUCCUGGAUGGAGCGUAUCUUCAGCACAACUGCCCAGAAUGCCUGGAGAAGUCGCUUACACAAGAAGCAGAUGGCUGCCGCAAGUUCCUGCUCCAAGAAUCCACACCAGGCUGUUCUAGGUGACCCUACUGGAAGUCAGAGAGCACGACUACCUGUCCCAAUCCCAGACCUACACCCAAACGAGCAUGGUCAGCGCUACAGG